rnacentral:rRNA from 1 species
UACGUAGGGUGCAAGCGUUGUCCGGAAUUAUUGGGCGUAAAGAGCUCGUAGGCGGUCUGUUGCGUCGGCUGUGAAAACCCGGGGCUCAACUCCGGGCCUGCAGCCGAUACGGGCAGACUAGAGUUCGGCAGGGGAGACUGGAAUUCCUGGUGUAGCGGUGAAAUGCGUAGAGAUCGGGAGGAACACCAGAGGCGAAGGCGGCGACCUGGACGAGUACUGACACUCAACUACGAAAGCGUGGGGAGCAAACAGG